rnacentral:snoRNA from 1 species
AAUCCAUGCAUCUGAGAUUUCUGAAAUAGUUCUUUAUAUCAUUCCCAAGCAUCAUAUAGUGUUUCAUCCUCUCAUUGUCGAAAAGAUGUGAUUUCAUUUCUAAGCUU